rnacentral:rRNA from 1 species
UUGGUAUAUCACCUUAUCGAGUUGGUAUUAAUUCUUCCAGUGGCAACUUCAUCGGUCGACCGAAUAUUUUCAGCAAUGAAGGUCAUCAAAACCGAUUUGCGCAAUAAGAUAUCAGAUGAUUAUCUCAAUGAUUUAAUGGUAUGCUACUGUGAGAAAAGGAUAUUCAAAAGUAUUCCAGAUGAUCAAAUUAUGAUACGAUUUCAGAAAAAGAAAAAUCGCAAAGGACAUUUGCCUCCUGAGUAUGAUGUUAUUUCUUAG